rnacentral:rRNA from 1 species
CCUACGGGUGGCUGCAGUGGGGAAUAUUGGACAAUGGGCGAAAGCCUGAUCCAGCCAUGCCGCGUGUGUGAAGAAGGCCUUCGGGUUGUAAAGCACUUUCAGUGGGGAAGAAAGCCUUGGGGCUAAUACCCUCGAGGAAGGACAUCACCCACAGAAGAAGCACCGGCUAACUCCGUGCCAGCAGCCGCGGUAAUACGGAGGGUGCGAGCGUUAAUCGGAAUUACUGGGCGGAAAGCGCGCGUAGGCGGUCUGAUAAGCCGGUUGUGAAAGCCCCGGGCUCAACCUGGGAACGGCAUCCGGAACUGUCAGGCUAGAGUGCAGGAGAGGAAGGUAGAAUUCCCGGUGUAGCGGUGAAAUGCGUAGAGAUCGGGAGGAAUACCAGUGGCGAAGGCGGCCUUCUGGACUGACACUGACGCUGAGGUGCGAAAGCGUGGGUAGCAAACAGGAUUAGAUACCCGGGUAGUC